UAAGAUGAGAGUUUGAUCCUGGCUCAGGACGAACGCUGGCGGCGUGCCUAAUACAUGCAAGUCGAACGAGUCCUCCCAAUUUGAUUUUAUGCUUGCAUAAAUGAUUUUUGGAUUCGGGACGAGUGGCGAACUGGUGAGUAACACGUGGGUAACCUGCCCURAAGYAGGGGAUAACAUUUGGAAACAGAUGCUAAUACCGUAUAAUUAGUUGGAACCACAUGGUUCCAACUUGAAAGAUGGCUCUGCUAUCACUUUAGGAUGGACCCGCGGCGUAUUAGCUAGUUGGUGAGAUAAAAGCUYACCAAGGCGAUGAUACGUAGCCGACCUGAGAGGGUAAUCGGCCACAUUGGGACUGAGACACGGCCCAGACUCCUACGGGAGGCAGCAGUAGGGAAUCUUCCACAAUGGACGAAAGUCUGAUGGAGCAACGCCGCGUGAGUGAAGAAGGGUUUCGGCUCGUAAAACUCUGUUGUUAAAGAAGAACAAGUGUAAGAGUAACUGUUUACGCUUUGACGGUAUUUAACCAGAAAGCCACGGCUAACUACGUGCCAGCAGCCGCGGUAAUACGUAGGUGGCAAGCGUUGUCCGGAUUUAUUGGGCGUAAAGCGAGCGCAGGUGGUUCUUUAAGUCUGUUGUGAAAGCCCUCAGCUCAACUGAGGAAGUGCAGCGGAAACUAAAGGACUUGAGUACAGAAGAGGAUAGUGGAACUCCAUGUGUAGCGGUGAAAUGCGUAGAUAUAUGGAAGAACACCAGUGGCGAAGGCGGCUAUCUGGUCUGUUACUGACACUGAGGCUCGAAAGCAUGGGUAGCGAACAGGAUUAGAUACCCUGGUAGUCCAYGCCGUAAACGAUGARUGCUARGUGUUGGGAGGUUUCCGCCUCUCAGUGCYGCAGCUAACGCAUUAAGYMYUCCGCCUGGGGAGUACGRYCGCAAGGUURAAACUCAAAKGAAUUGACGGGGGCCCGCACAAGCGGUGGAGCAUGUGGUUUAAUUCGAWGCAACGCGAAGAACCUUACCWGGUCUUGACAUCUUSUGCMARYCYWAGAGAUWRGRCGUUYCCUUCGGGRACASUAAGACAGGUGSUGCAUGGCUGUCGUCAGCUCGUGUYGUGARAUGUUGGGUUAAGUCCCGCAACGAGCGCAACCCUUAUUAUUAGUUGCCAGCAUUAAGUUGGGCACUCUAGUGAGACUGCCGGUGAUAAACCGGAGGAAGGUGGGGAUGACGUCAAAUCAUCAUGCCCCUUAUGACCUGUUCGGAUUGCAGGCUGCAACUCGCCUGCAUGAAGUUGGAAUCACUAGUAAUCGUGGAUCAGCAUGCCACGGUGAAUACGUUCCCGGGCCUUGUACACACCGCCCGUCACACCAUGAGAGUUUGUAACACCCAAAGACGAUGGAGUAACCUUCGGGAGCUAGUUGUCUAAGGUGGGACAGAUGAUUAGGGUGAAGUCGUAACAAGGUAGCCGUAGGWGAACCUGCGGCUGGAUCACCUCCUUUCUAAGGA
rnacentral:rRNA from 1 species